rnacentral:rRNA from 1 species
UGGGGAAUAUUGCACAAUGGGCGCAAGCCUGAUGCAGCCAUGCCGCGUGUGUGAAGAAGGCCUUCGGGUUGUAAAGCACUUUCAGCGAGGAGGAAGGUGGUGAACUUAAUACGUUCAUCAAUUGACGUUACUCGCAGAAGAAGCACCGGCUAACUCCGUGCCAGCAGCCGCGGUAAUACGGAGGGUGCAAGCGUUAAUCGGAAUUACUGGGCGUAAAGCGCACGCAGGCGGUUUGUUAAGUCAGAUGUGAAAUCCCCGGGCUCAACCUGGGAACUGCAUUUGAAACUGGCAAGCUAGAGUCUCGUAGAGGGGGGUAGAAUUCCAGGUGUAGCGGUGAAAUGCGUAGAGAUCUGGAGGAAUACCGGUGGCGAAGGCGGCCCCCUGGACGAAGACUGACGCUCAGGUGCGAAAGCGUGGGGAGCAAACAGGAUUAGAUACCCCUGGUAGUCCACGCUGUAAAACGAUGUCGAUUUUGGAGGUUGUGCCCUUGAGGCGUGGCUUCCGGAGCUAACGCGUUAAAUCGACCGCCUGGGGAGUACGGCCGCAAGGUUAAAACUCAAAGGAAUUGACGGGGUCUAGCUG